GAAUAUCGAUAAGAGUGUACAUAACUGAAUCGGGAAACAUUAAAUUUUCAUUACAUAUUGUCCGAAUACAUAAAUGGGAUUACAAAAUCCAAAAUCCAAGAGAUUAAUACUAAAUUAAGCUAACAACUGAAAACAUAAAGAAACUAAAUCUUAUACAAAUAUAAGAUAACAUGACGUCAGCUCAACUAGAAUAAUCCAAGUAUCUGAACUCCAUGCUUGCAGACCAUGAUAUCUUGAUCAACCUGUUUAUCUGAAAUCAAAUAAGUGGGGAUGAGACAGUCACUUCGUCUCAGUGGAUUCCUACUANNNNNNNNNNNNNNNNNNNNNNNNNNNNNNNAAUACAUAAAGGUGUAACACAAAUUAUUUAUCUUGUUCGUUUUAUUCAUAACAAAGACACUCUGAGGUGAGCCGGUCUCAGAGGCCUGAUAUGUCCGUCUGCGAUAAUAAUAUACACCGACACGGCUGAAGCUCACAAUCAUAACAUAAUUGGAUUCUAACGAAUCCCAUAACGUGGUACAUAAGUAACCACCAUAAUUGAUUGACUUUCUUACCUUAACUUAAUAAUCUUGAUUGUUAUCCUGCCCAUGAAUUCCCUCCCAGGGUAUCUCUAAAUUGUCCUGAUUCCUGAUACUUAAUUUCAUGAGGUGUGAUUAACAUUCUAAAUAUGUAACGAUGUUACACUGUCCAGAGAAAUACAUUAGGAAGAAUUAGAAUAUAAAACGAGUGAUUUGGUGGUUAAAUUAAAAUUCUGCAGUGUUCUAUUAUGACAUUCUCGCUCGGCGAACUCAGUCCUCGCUAAGCGAGUACAUCAGUAUAAAACUCUUUUUGCAUUUUUAUGAGAAAUCAAGCCAAUAAUCACCUACAAUCCAUAUAUUCCUAAUUUCAGACACCGUAAUUAGUCCAUAUAUUCAGAAUGGAGAAUAGUUUGGGGAUUCAACCAUUCUCACGCAAUAAAUUCCUUAAAUCCUAGUAUUGUCAUGCAAUUGAUAAAUUGGGGAACUAAUAUUCUAACUGAACUAAUGUUAUCAUGCAUUUAUUUUAUUUGGGGAAACUAAUGGAGCUAAACUAACUAGAGUUGAAGGCUCUAAGGGAACCCACCUCAUUCCGUUGAUGACAAUCCUUGAGUGAAAUUCGAGAUUCCAACGUAUUUUGUACGCUUAUGUAUCAGUUCGUGCGACUUGAAAAUGUAGAAACCCGCAGCCAAAAUUACAGCAUCAGAAUCCCAUUUUUAAACACAUCUCCAGACCAUGUACAUUGGUUAUCAAACCCCUCAACCAAUUGAAUUUCCAACAGUUCCAACAAUGGUUCUUGGUGCGGAGUCAUACAUGCAGAGCAUUCUUGAAUCACUUGAGAUUCCACCGAUUGUUUUUACUAGUAGAAAAAUACUCCAAUUGAAGGUGAGAAUAACUCAACUAUUGAGAAGAAAUAGCUUCAGAUUUGGUAAUGAAAAUAGAUGAAGAAAUUGAGAUGGAGAAUGUUGCUCGGUCAAGGUGAAAGGAAGAGAAAGAUUCAAUCUUUGAACUUGUUUCCAUUGGUCUAAGGAAUGCUUUUGAUAAUACUUAACCCACAUGCAUGGUACGGUCAGAAGAUUUGAAAAAUGAAGAUGAGGUUGUUGUUGUUUCGGUUAAACAGAGAGAAAAGGAGGGAUCUAGUGGCUAAAUUAAUUCUCAAUGGAAGGUUGUUGUAGGAUUUCAACAUGGUUUGCUUGGGUUUAAGAAAAUGAGUGAAAUGAUUUGUAACUCCAUGGAUGUGAGAAAGGGAUAGAGAGCUGAGUAUGGCGUGGGAAGGGAGAGGAUUAUGCAGACUUUUCUU
rnacentral:lncRNA from 1 species